UACGGAGGUUGCAAGCGUUGUUCGGAAUAACUGGGCGUAAAGGGAGCGCAGGCGGCAAGGUCAGUCUAAAGUGAAAGCCCGGGGCUUAACCUCGGAAGUGCUUUAGAUACUGCCUUGCUCGAGUUCGUGAGAGGAAAGCGGAAUUCCAGGUGUAGCGGUGAAAUGCGUAGAUAUCUGGAGGAACACCGGUGGCGAAAGCGGCUUUCUGGCGCGAUACUGACGCUGAGGCUCGAAAGCAUGGGGAGCGAACGGGAUUAGAUACCCCGGUAGUCCAUGCCGUAAACGUUGUGCACUAGGUGUAGGAGGUAUCGACCCCUUCUGUGCCGCAGCUAACGCAUUAAGUGCACCGCCUGGGGAGUACGGUCGCAAGGCUGAA
rnacentral:rRNA from 1 species